rnacentral:misc_RNA from 1 species
UUUCCGUAGGUGAACCUGCGGAAGGAUCAUUAUCGAGUUAGGGUCUUCUAGGCCCGACCUCCCAACCCUUUGUUUACCGAACCACUGUUGCUUCGGCGGGCCCGUCUCACGACCGCCGGAGGAGCGCUGAAAGGCGUGUCCUCUGGCCCGCGUCCGCCGAUGGCCAACCACAAAACUCUGUAUAAAUCGUGUCUUUAUGUCUAAGUCAAUGAUUGAAUUAAAAGCAAAACUUUCAACAACGGAUCUCUUGGUUCUGGCAUCGAUGAAGAACGCAGC